rnacentral:rRNA from 1 species
CAGCGCCACGAGUGGGAACCACAAUUAUUGGGCCUAAAGCGUUCGUAGCCGGUUGUUUAAAUCUUUUGUGAAAUCGUCAGGCUUAACCUGACGGACUGCAGAAGAGACUGGACAACUAGGGACCGGAAGGGGUUAGGAGUAUUCAAAGGGGAGCGGUAAAAUGCAAUAAUCCUUUGAGGACUACCUGUGGCGAAGGCGCCUAACCAGUACGGGUCCGACGGUGAGGAACGAAAGCUAGGGGAGCAAUCCGGAUUAGAGACCCGAGUAGUCC